CCUACGGGUGGCAGCAGUGGGGAAUAUUGGACAAUGGGCGAAAGCCUGAUCCAGCCAUGCCGCGUGUGUGAAGAAGGCCUUCGGGUUGUAAAGCACUUUCAGUGGGGAAGAAAGCCUUGGGGCUAAUACCCUCGAGGAAGGACAUCACCCACAGAAGAAGCACCGGCUAACUCCGUGCCAGCAGCCGCGGUAAUACGGAGGGUGCGAGCGUUAAUCGGAAUUACUGGGCGUAAAGCGCGCGUAGGCGGUCUGAUAAGCCGGUUGUGAAAGCCCCGGGCUCAACCUGGGAACGGCAUCCGGAACUGUCAGGCUAGAGUGCAGGAGAGGAAGGUAGAAUUCCAGGUGUAGCGGUGAAAUGCGUAGAGAUCGGGAGGAAUACCAGUGGCGAAGGCGGUCUUCUGGACUGACACUGACGCUGAGGUGCGAAAGCGUGGGUAGCAAACAGGAUUAGAUACCCGAGUAGUC
rnacentral:rRNA from 1 species